rnacentral:siRNA from 1 species
UCUGACUUGGGUAUAGGGGCGA